AUUGAACGCUGGCGGCAGGCCUAACACAUGCAAGUCGAGCGGCAGCGCGGGGCAACCUGGCGGCGAGCGGCGAACGGGUGAGUAAUACAUGGGAAUCUGCCUGGUAGUGGGGGAUAACUCUGGGAAACUAGAGGUAAUACCGCAUACGUCCUACGGGAGAAAGCGGGGAUCUUCGGACCUCGCGCUAUCAGAGGAGCCCAUGUCCGAUUAGCUAGUUGGUGAGGUAAAGGCUCACCAAGGCGACGAUCGGUAACUGGUCUGAGAGGAUGGUCAGUCACACUGGAACUGAGACACGGUCCAGACUCCUACGGGAGGCAGCAGUGGGGAAUAUUGGACAAUGGGGGCAACCCUGAUCCAGCCAUGCCGCGUGUGUGAAGAAGGCCU
rnacentral:rRNA from 1 species